GGCAGACUGCUGACUUCCAUGUAAGCAGAACUGCAGCACAUUUUGCCCUUUGGCCAGAAGAUGGAGAAUGAGUACUGUUAAGUAUUUGAGAAUGUGGGAGAAUAAACUCUUUGCCCCAUUUUGUUUUGCUGCUUUGUCACUUUGAAACCAAUCCUCAUUGCUUUUGAUCAAAAAGGAACCUGAAUGCCAGACUGGUUCAGAACAGCUUCUUCUCACUCAAGGCAAGGUGCUUUCUUUACAGGAGGUAUACCAGUCCAAACUGUGAAAGAUGAGAAGGAAUUAAAAGCUGAAAAAUGGAACUUGGCAGAAUUCCAGAGGAAGUAUCUUUGCAAGCACAGAUAAUAGAUGAGCCAACCUGACAGUCUCUCUGUUGGUGCAGGUGAGAUGCAUUAUAAACCUGGGGGU
rnacentral:lncRNA from 1 species